rnacentral:rRNA from 1 species
CCGGUUUGUUACACACCGCCCGUCCACACCAUGGAGCGGGUUCUGCCAGAAGUAGUUAGCCUAACCGCAAGGAGGGCGAUUACCACGGCAGGGUUCGUGACUGGGGUG